GAGUUUGAUCGUGGCUCAGUAUUGAACGCUGGCGGCACGCCUUACACAUGCAAGUCGAACGGCAGCACGGGAGCUUGCUCCUGGUGGCGAGUGGCGAACGGGUGAGUAAUGCAUCGGAAUGUAUCCUGGAGUGGGGGAUAACGUAGCGAAAGUUACGCUAAUACCGCAUAUUCUGUGAGCAGGAAAGCGGGGGACCUUCGGGCCUCGCGCUCUUGGAGCGGCCGAUGUCGGAUUAGCUAGUUGGUGAGGUAAAGGCUCACCAAGGCGACGAUCCGUAGCAGGUCUGAGAGGAUGAUCUGCCACACUGGAACUGAGACACGGUCCAGACUCCUACGGGAGGCAGCAGUGGGAAUUUUGGACAAUGGGGGCAACCCUGAUCCAGCCAUGCCGCGUGAGUGAGAAGGCC
rnacentral:rRNA from 1 species